rnacentral:rRNA from 1 species
UUACAAACGAUUCAGUUUUAGAAUGUCAUACUUUGCUAUAACGCAAUUUAUAUACAACUUUCAGCAACGGAUCUCUUGGCUCUCGCAUCGAUGAAGA